rnacentral:tRNA from 1 species
GCCCCGAUGGUGUAGUCCGGUCAAUCAUUUGGCCCUCUCACGGCCAGGACAGGGGUUCGAAUCCCCUUCGGGGCACCA